rnacentral:lncRNA from 1 species
GGGCGAUCCUGGAAGCUGGUCUUCGGAAGCGUCCAGAGUCUCUCUCUCUGCCACCCAGGCCAGAGUGCAGUUGACGCAGGGCAGGGGAGCCCCGAAGUGGAGCAUAGUGUGUCCGGAACUGGUGGGUUCUUGGUCUCCCUGACUUCAAGAAUGAAGCCACGGACCCUCGGGAAAUGAGGCUUCUCCCCAGGACCAGCAUUCCACGAAGGCAGCCCUUUUCUAGAUGGAGAAAACAGAACCUGAAGACACCCGUUUCCCUAAACUGCUCUCGCUCAUGUAAACUCCUGGAGGGCAGAGGCAUGCCUGCCAUCUUCAUCAUUGCAUUACCACCACCCAACACUAUCGGGGGACCUGCCCUGAUAAUCAGUCUACAGGUGUAUCCAGCAGCUCCAGAGAGACAGCGACCAGCGAGAAGGGGCCAUGAUGAUGGUGGUGGUUUUGUCAAAACGAAAAGGGGGAUAUGUAGGGAAAAGAAAGAGAGAUCAGACUGUUACUGUGUCUACAUAGAAAGGGAAGCCAUAAGAGACUCCAUUUUGAAA